rnacentral:rRNA from 1 species
UACGAACUGUGCAAACGUUAUUCGGAAUCACUGGGCUUACAGGGUGCGUAGGCGGCUUGUUAAGUAGGGUGUGAAAUCCCCCGGCUCAACCGGGGAAUUGCGCCCUAAACUGGCGAGCUGGAGUGAGAUAGGGGUGUGCGGAACUUCCGGUGGAGCGGUGAAAUGUGUUGAUAUCGGAAGGAACGCCGGUGGCGAAAGCGGCACACUGGAUCUCAACUGACGCUGAGGCACGAAAGCCAGGGGAGCGAACGGG